ACAGCUUUUAGAGCCGCUCUGCAGUCUGACAGCCGAGAGGAGCAGAGGCAUCACCCACGGGCACCACCACAGCGUGUGGACCGGGCAGCGCAGCCCCCAGGCGGGCUCAGGUUUACAUGCGCUCACAACACCGAAAUUUUGAACAAAAACAGUAUGAAAGAAAUGGGAGAGAAAAUUCUGAAGGAAGCAGGCCAUGAGCAGCACACCUCACUGAUCCUAGGGGGACAGGCCGGAUGGAUCAUUCCCACUGAAAAGGCAGCAGUCGAUUUUCUAAA